rnacentral:misc_RNA from 1 species
UUUCCGUUGGUGAACCAGCGGAAGGAUCAUUACAGAGAUCGUGCCCUCACGGGUAGACCUCCCACCCUGUGUUAUUUACUUUGUUGCUUUGGCAGGCCACCUCUGGGCGCUGGCUUCGGCUGCGUAGUGCUUGUCAAAGGACCUCAACUCGUGAUUUUAAUGCUGUCUGAGCCUAUUUUUAAUACGUUAAAACUUUCAACAACGGAUCUCUUGGUUCUGGCAUCGAUGAAGAACGCAGC